rnacentral:tRNA from 1 species
GGCUUUAUUGGGAAUUGCUGGUUUUGAAAACCGGCUAGGAACGUUCGAUUCGUUUAGAAGUCUAGGGGAUAAUUAAGGUUAAGUAUGGGAGCUUCUAACUCUUUUUAUGGGCAGUUCGAUUCUGUUCGUCCCUUA